rnacentral:rRNA from 1 species
AUAUACCUACGGGGCGCAGCAGUAGGGAAUCUUCCACAAUGGGCGAAAGCCUGAUGGAGCAACGCCGCGUGGGUGAAGAAGGUCUUCGGAUCGUAAAACCCUGUUGUUAGAGAAGAAAGUGCGUGAGAGUAACUGUUCACAUUUCGACGGUAUCUAACCAGAAAGCCACGGCUAACUACGUGCCAGCAGCCGCGGUAAUACGUAGGGGGCAAGCGUUAUCCGGAUUUAUUGGGCGUAAAGGGAACGCAGGCGGUCUUUUAAGUCUGAUGUGAAGGCCUUCGGCUUAACCGGAGUAGUGCAUUGGG